AACGGCCGCGGUAUCCUAACCGUGCAAAGGUAGCAUAAUCACUUGCCUAUUAAUUGUAGGCUAGAAUGAAUGGGUUAACGAAAUAAAGACUGUCUCAAUUAAUCACCUAAAAAUUACUAUCUACCUGAAGAAGAGUAGAUAAUCUCGAAGGACAAGAAGACCCUAUAGAGCUUAAUUUUAAUUAUAGGACUAUACUAUAAAAAUAUUUGGUUGGGGCGACCCAGGGCUAAUUAAUCACCCACCACAUAAAAGAUAAAUUAAUCAAGUAAUUGACCCCUAAAAGAUCAUAAGAACAAGCUACCUUAGGGAUAACAGGCUAAUCCCACUCAAGAGUCCUUAUCAACAGUGGGGUUUGGCACCUCGAUGUUGGCUUAGG
rnacentral:rRNA from 1 species